UGAAGUCGGAAUCGCUAGUAAUCGUGAAUCAGAAUGUCACGGUGAAUACGUUCCCGGGCCUUGUACACACCGCCCGUCACACCAUGGGAGUUGAUUGCACCAGAAGUAGCUAGCCUAACCUUCGGGAGGGCGGUUACCACGGUGUGGUUAAUGACUGGGGUGAAGUCGUAACAAGGUAACCCUAGGGGAACCUGGGGU
rnacentral:rRNA from 1 species